rnacentral:lncRNA from 1 species
CCAGCAUGUCCUCCUUUUAUUCAAAAUAUUGAUACGUAACAAAAUUUCAGUAGUUUUGAUACCUCAUGCUGACUUGUACAACAAAAUGAUUUGACCGCAUUGACCAAAACUGACCAUAUGUGCACUUUAAUUUGUAAAUCUAUAUACCAUGUAUACCCGCAUAGUAAAUAAGCCAUAUUUUUUAUGCCAGGAUUCAAUGUAUAAUACAAUGGACAGUAAUAUUGCAAUAUAAUAACAACAAAUUUUUGUUCGCAUUAAUUUUGGAUGUCAGCAUGUCCUCCUUUUAUUCAAAAUAUUGAUACGUAACAAAAUUUCAGUAGAUUUGAUACCUCAUGCUGACUUAUACAACAAAAUUAUUUGACUGCAUCGACCAAAAACUGACCUGCAUAUGUGCACUUUAAUUUAAAAAUCUAUAUAUAUCAACAUAGUAAAUCAGCCAUAUUUUUGAUGUCUGGAUUCAAUGUAUAAAAUAAAUGACCGCUGUUGGGAUGGCGCCUAAUUAUGUCUUCUCCUGGCACUCCUGUGAACAUGUUAGUAGGACGGCAAAUGUAAGCAAUAAGGAAAACAAUUAAUGCAAAUUUUUUUUCUGCAUACAUUGAGAAUGUCAGCGUUUCAUCUCUGUAUUCAUGAUAUUGAACAGUCACUAGGGUGUGUAAAACGAAACUAUUAGGGCGCAUCAUGCAAGUACAUGUACCAACACUGACAUGUCUGAAUUCAUUUGUGAUUUUUAAUAAAAAAUGUAUUUGAGGUUCUCUUCUGGUAAUAGUAUACUGUUAAUCUAUUAUGUCGGUUGAUUGGUUUUGUUUGUAGUUAAACGUCAAGUGACAACUAUUUCAUUCAUGUGCACAAAUC